GCCCUUUUCCGGUUGACCCGCCGGACCCGACCGCUAUCGGGGUAGGGCUAACCAUGGGAGCCGAACGCCCCGCCGCUGCGGGGCGUGGCGCACGGCUGAGUAACACGUAGCUAACCUACCCUCGGGAGGGGGAUAACCUCACGGGAAACUGGGGCUAAUCCCCCAUAGGCGGGGAGGCCUGGAAGGGUUCCCCGCCGAAAGGGGGCACGGGGGGUUAUCGCCCGUGCUCCGCCCGAGGAUGGGGCUGCGGCCUAUCAGGCAGUUGGCGGGGUAAUGGCCCGCCAAACCGAAGACGGGUAGGGGCCGUGAGAGCGGGAGCCCCCAGAUGGGCACUGAGACAAGGGCCCAGGCCCUACGGGGCGCACCAGGCGCGAAAACUCCGCAAUGCGGGCAACCGUGACGGGGCUACCCCGAGUGCCCCCCUUGUGGGGGCUUUUCCCCGCUGUAAGUAGGCGGGGGAAUAAGCGGGGGGCAAGUCUGGUGUCAGCCGCCGCGGUAAUACCAGCCCCGCGAGUGGUCGGGGUGCUUACUGGGCCUAAAGCGGCCGUAGCCGGCCCGGUAAGUCCCCCCUUAAAGCCCCGGGCUCAACCCGGGGAGCGGGGGGAUACNGCCGGGCUAGGGGGCGGGAGAGGCCGAGGGUACUCCCGGGGUAGGGGCGAAAUCCUAUAAUCCCGGGNGGACCACCAGUGGCGAAGGCGCUCGGCUGGACCGCGCCCGNCGGUGAGGGCCGAAAGCCGGGGGAGCGAACCGGAUUAGAUACCCGGGUAGUCCCGGCUGUAAACGAUGCGGGCUAGGUGUUGGGCGAGCGAGAGAGCUCGCCCAGUGCCACAGGGAAGCCGUUAAGCCCGCCGCCUGGGGAGUACGGCCGCAAAUCCGGGUCAGGGGGAAACCCCUGCCCGGAGCGGAAGGCUGAAACUUAAAGGAAAGAGGGGCUGGGGGCGGGCUUGAAUGCAUCUCUAUCAGCACUAUAAUAGUCUUAUGAACUUGAAGUGCUUACCUCGCUGGAGCGCUAAGAGAUAGACUAGGGAAAACGAUAUAGUUAAAUUUAGAGAAGAAAUUGGAUCAUGGCAUCCUGAGAAGCGGUAUAGGCUAUUCCAGAUUUAACUCUUUACUUCUAACACUCCUCCCCGCCCCACCCCUCCUGAAUUGGCGGGGGAGCACACAAGGGGUGGAGCCUGCGGCUUAAUUGGAGUCAACGCCGGGAAUCUCACCGGGGGCGACAGCAGGAUGACGGCCAGGUUAAAGGCCUUGCCCGACGCGCUGAGGGGAGGUGCAUGGCCGUCGCCAGCUCGUGCCGUGAGGUGUCCUGUUAAGUCAGGCAACGAGCGCGACCCCCGCCCCUAGUUGCUACCCUAGGGGAGACCCUAGGGGCACACUAGGGGGACUGCCGCCGCUAAGGCGGAGGAAGGAGGGGGCCACGGCAGGUCAGCAUGCCCCUAAUCCCCCGGGCUGCACGCGGGCUACAAUGGCGGGGACAGCGGGAGCCGACCCCGAAAGGGGGAGGCAAUCCCUUAAACCCCGCCGCAGUUGGGAUCGGAGGCUGCAACUCGCCUCCGUGAACGCGGAAUCCCUAGUAACCGCGCGUCAACAUCGCGCGGUGAAUACGCCCCUGCUCCUUGCACACACCGCCCGUCAAGGGC
rnacentral:rRNA from 1 species